rnacentral:misc_RNA from 1 species
ACACCUCAACUCUCAUGGCUUGCCAUGAUGAGCUUGGACUUUGGGGGUCUUGCUGGCCUGUGGUUGGCUCCUCUCAAAUGAAUCAGCUUGCCAGUGUUUGGUGGCAUCACAGGUGUGAUAACUAUCUAUGCUUGUGGUUUUCCACCAGGUUAACCUUCAGUGAUGGAGGUUCGCUGGAGCUCAUAAAUGUCUCUUCUCGGUGAAGACAGCUCUUUGAAC